GAUGAACGCUGGCGGCGUGCCUAAUACAUGCAAGUCGAGCGAUCAAAUGAGGACCUUGCUCUUCUGAUGUUAUCGGCGGACGUGUGAGUAACAUGUGGAUAAUCCAUCUUUAAGACUGGGAUAACUUCGGGAAACUGGAUCUUAUCCCGUAUAAUAUAUUGAACCGUAUUGUUCAAUAGAGAAAGACGGUUUCGUCACUACCUAUUGAUGGAUCCGCGCCGCAUUAGCUAGUUGGUAAGGUAACGGCUUACCAAGGCAACGAUGCGUAGCCGACCUGAGAGGGUGAUCGGCCACACUGGAACUGAGACACGGUCCAGACUCCUACGGGAGGCAGCAGUAGGGAAUCUUCCGCAAAGGGCGAAAGCCUGACGGAGCAACGCCGCGUGAGUGAUGAAGGUCUUCGGAUCGUAAAACUCUGUUAUUAGGGAAGAACAAAUGUGUAAGUAACUAUGCACGUCUUGACGGUACCUAAUCAGAAAGCCACGGCUAACUACGUG
rnacentral:rRNA from 1 species